GGGUGAAUGGGGGGUUCCAAUGGAGGAGGCUGAAAGUGACGGGGAGGGGUGCUGAGAAAAGGGAGGUGGUGUGGGCUCCAAGGGCACGUGUCAGCUCUGCCUGACUCUUCCUGUCCGGGAGUGGAGCUUGCUGUCCCGGUCACGGUCCUUUCUCAGAGCUGGUUGAUAGUGGGGCCCAUGCAGUCAUUGUUUCCGUUAAAGAUGGUGAGAAGAGGGCACAGGACAAGACUGUCAGCUUUCCUUGUGCCUGUGCAGCGUGCUCGUGCCUAGAGAGAAGUGACAGCAGUUACACAGAUGUGAGCAAGAGCACAGAGAAGUCUGAAUGGUAGAAAAGCAGAAAUGCAAUCACAUUACUGAAACUUUGGUGCAUUCGAUGAAGUCCUGGGAAAGUACAGAGAAGAAGACAGGAAGCCUUCAGUCGACCUAGAAGCACUUGAGAUCUCCAGUGUUGUAUGAAAUCCAGCAUGAUGGCCUCAUAGACGCUGCCGAUCCAGGUGUUCUCAUCAUACAGGUGAUCCUGGGAGAAGGCCAUGCUGUUCCAGGCCCCUCCUUCCCCCCCGCCGAGUUUUCCUCUCCAGCAUCCUCAGGACAAAGCUCUCCUUCCUUUUGCAUCAUGAAGGACACAACAAUAAAAUUACAAUCAAUGUAAAGUAUUAGAAAGUUGAAAUGAAAAAUAAAAGCCAAAGCACAAGACCCAUCGUCAUCAUUGGUAGCAGCAGCAGCAGCACACCCAUAAUAUUCAAGAUGAAUAAAAUUAUUCUGUCAACUCUGUGUCUGGAUUUACUGCAUGGAGAACCAGCUACAAC